rnacentral:rRNA from 1 species
GAUGAACGCUGGCGGCGUGCUUAACACAUGCAAGUCGAACGGAAAGGCCCUGCUCUUGUUGGGUUCUCGAGUGCCGAACGGGUGAGUGACACGUGUGUAUCCUGCCCUUGUCUUUGGGGUAACUUCAGGAAACUCGGGCUAAUAUCGCAUAGGAUCUCCUGCUGCGUGUGGGGGGUUGGAAAGAGUCGGCUGUUGGGGAUGGACUCGAUGCUUAUGGGCUGGAUGGUGAGGUAGGUGCUUACGAAGGCUUUGACGGGUAGCCCGCCUGAGAGGGUGACCGGCGACAUUAGGCCUGAGAUACGGCCCAGAAUCCAACGGGAGGCAGCAGUGGGGAAUAUUGCACAAUGGGCGGACGCGUGAUGCAGCGACGCCGCGUGCGGGAUGACGGCCUUCGGGUUAUAAACCGCUUUCGCCUGUGACGAAGCGUGAGUGACGGUAAUGAGUAAAGAAGCACCGGCUAACUACGUG